GUCAAGCAGGAAUUCCUGCUUGCCAACAUCCAUUGAUUUAAUCAGUGUAAGUGCGAAUGUGCCAUAACUCAUUGAAGUAAACACCAUGACUUAUCAUUUGAGCACUUAUACAUGUGUAUGUUUCAGAGAUCAUUGUAAGCCUAAUGAUACAUGGGGCAACUUUUUGAGCAGUUUUGCUGGGCAACUUUUUUUGAGCAAUGUUGUUUGGGCACUUUUCCAUUGAGAAUGGGUAACAAAUUUCUAUCUAGAUCAUUUAGAUCGGUCGUGGUCCCUGUGUCUCAGCUGGUUGCCUGUUGAUGGCAACAUUGCUCAAAAAGUUGCCCCGUGUAUCAUCAGCCUAAGUGUGUAAAUAUCUAUGUGAGACCCUAUUAUAUGUGUUUCAGGUGAUGGUCAUGAGGACAAACACAGAGUGUCUGCUGCUGAUGGACCAUACUAUGAAACACAAUCUGCUCAGCUCUGUGUGAGUGAGGAGGGCUCUAGUGGAGAGAGGGGGGCCGUCUCAUACCCCCCAUCACCAAACUGCCGCAUUCGUGAAGUGCACUGUGGAAAUCAAGUGCGACUGAUUGUCAUAGCGAUCCGCGACAUCGCAAAGGGGGAGGAGAUCACUGUGGAUUACAGUUUGACCGAGUGGGGAGAAAACGCUAUGGGUUUCCAUGGCACUGUGCCUCCUAGUAGCUUUGAUUGCAGCUUGGACCAUGAGAGCAACAUUAAGAAGGAGGAAGAGUCCGGCCCAGUUCCACUUUCUGCAUCAGAAUACCUCACACCUUCCUGGUCUCUCUCUCCUUCCUCUUCUCCUCUGUCUCACUCUGAGCCCAGUGAUUCAGACCUCGACUCGGAUGAUGCCAAUGGAGAGAAGCGCAUGCGAUCACUUCACCGCCGCAAGAGGCACAAAGCUCUGUCCUCUUCUGUUGCACAUGCUAAAAGAAAAGCACUUCAGCGACCCACCAGCCAUCCUCCCCCUUUUCCACACUCCCUCCCGUCCUCCACACUGCAGCCCACUGCUCCCUCCAGACCUGUGUUUAAGUGCCCGCCGCCUGCAGGAGUUGCUGCUAAUAGUGUCAAUGUGUCAGUGGGUCGUGGGCAGAGCACCAUGGCACAGAAACAGCGCUGUGUUUACUGUGGCCGUCAUUUCCGAUCUCUCCCACGGCAUCUGGAAAAACACCACGCCCACCAGCCGGACGUGCGCUCUGCCCUGGAGCAAGCGCGCACCCCUGGUGACCCUCCUUGUGUCCAACCGUGUCUCCCAUCAUCGAGCAAACAGUCCCAAUGCCUACAAGUGGCUCCUGUGCCAGGUGUGGUGGUGGUAACACCACAGUCACCUCCUGCUUCUUCUUUGUCUCCAGUCGGAAGGAGCCCUGCCCUCUCUAGCCCUACUCGCAAAAGUCCUGCCCCAGCGACUCCUCCCAGAAGAGGAGGUGUUCCCGUGUCUGUCUUAAAGAGGAGCCCACCUACUCCUGCUACUCCUCCGAGAAAAGGAGGACAAAAAAUGAAAAAGGAUAAAGAGGAGGUAGACAUUUUUGAGAAGAUGAAAGAAGAGGAACUGCCCACUCCAGUCUUUGUGGAUAUUGUUAAGGAGUCAGAACCUUCAAAAGAAGAAAGAGAGGACAAUGGAGGGAGAGAAGAAGAAGAAAGCGGAGCAGAGGAUAAGACCGACCUAUCAAGUUCGCGUCGUCCCCACAUGCUCCCACUUCUUUCCUCCCUUUCCUCCCUGGUGUUGUACCUGCGGCGGCUGCAGCACUCUGCCUUUAUUUCUCUCUCCCGUUCACCUGAGUCGGCCGAGGCAUGGCGUCUCCUCUGUCACUCCAGCCUGGCCCUUCUCAUCCUUUACAAUCGCCGCCGUGAAUGUGAAGUCUCCAAACUGACAAUCUCAGAGUACCAGGCCCGAGUCGCAUCCCAGUGCCCCAUCCCUGUGCAACCUGGUGCCCCGUUAACUCUAACCCCACUGGAGGCUGCACUCUCACCCUUCGAGCGGAUGGUCCUCCCUCAUCUCCCUCGUGUCGGGGUCCAAGGGAAGCGUGGCCGCGUACAGCCGCUCAUCCUCCCCCCACACUCAGAAGCCUGUCUGGAGAUGCUUUUGCAGACUCGUGCCGGUGUGGGAAUCGAUCCACAGAACCCCUAUGUGUUUGCCAGGCCGUAUCAUUCGCCAGCUACUCCCCUGCGAGGAACAGACUUACUACGUAGUUUGGCUCGGUCCAGUGGUUCGCAGCACCCCCGGGCACUGACGCAGACACGCGUUCGCAGACAGGUGGCGAUACUUACACAGCUGCUGUUGUUAAGUGAGGGUGAGGAGGAAGGACAGCACGGGGCUGCCAUACAUCGAUUGGAAAGCUUCUUGCAGAAGGAGUAUCACGUGACUCAAAGCUGUGCAACCAUCGGCCAGGACCCUGGGCUGAUGGGUCUGAUCGGUCGGGUGGUACUAUGUGGAGAGAGAGAUGGUGUCUUGUUCCGAGGAAUGAGUUUACAUCACAUCUGUCUGGAGUUAGAUGUGUUGUCAGGAAACUCUGCCGACUCGCUGUCAGAGGACUCAGAUGUUGAGCAGAGUAAAGAGAAACCAGAAGCAGCAUCUCCUGCAACCACCAUUGUGAUGAAAAAAACCACAAGCAACAGCAAAUCUCCCCGGCCCAAGAAGAUGAACAGCAGCUCCCUGCUCUCAGCGGGACGCAAAAAGGCCUCAGGACAGCCCAAACCUGGUAAACGUGGUGUGCUGAAGCGGCCUUGGUCUGAGGCAGAGCGGGCAGCUGUUGAGACCCACCUGGUGCAAAACAUCAUAGAGCUGCGAGUGCCGGCUAAAGCGGAAUGUGAGCGCUGCCUGGAGCUCUGCCCCCUGCUGGUCACCAACCACCGGGACUGGAGGGCUGUGAAAUUCUACUGCCACAACCGUAUACAGCUGCUCAAGAAAACCCAGCAGAGACAGGGUCCACCCGCCCUGUCCAUCUGCUGAGGCUGUGAAUCAGCGCGCUGCUCGGAAGGGUCAGAUGUGUAAGGGAGGGGAUGUGAGGGAAAAUAUUGACAUGGUACAGUCACAGUAAACACAGUACAAAUGCUUUAAUUAAUAUGAUGUUGUGUGUGAUUUGUGUCCGGUGUGUAAAACGGAAAAUGGUACCAGUCUGGGAAGCAGACGGAAAUGCACACUUGUUGCAAUUUUUCUGUCUGCAGAUGACCAGUAAGUGUUUGUGUUGCUGGCUUAAAAGUAGAUGACCAUUUUUGACCAGCUGUAAGUCUGAAUGGCUUUGCUCUCUCCCUUUGGCCAUGCCUCUAUCUCUCCAAUGACAGAGAAACAGGCAGACUGAGCAACUUGUGCCUUGAUGGGAGUCAAACCUCAGUUUCAUUCACAUUUGAGAACAUUUUACUGUUAUUUACUAAUUUCAUAAUUUUUCAUGAAAUGAAGGAAUAUGCAUAAGAAAUGGGAUUUAACAAAAGAAGGUCCAUUUUUGGUCCUACCAUCUUUGCUCAUUAAAAUGUUUUAAAAAGUCCCUUCGAAAACCAACCUGAAUUGAAACAUUUAAUUGAAAGUUUCUUUGUUCCAUAAAACCCACUUUUGUUCCUACCAUUUUAAGCCUUAUGUGAUUUUAAUUACAUGGUUCUGUCCUCAUUUACAGUAUUCUUGUUGUCAAACCAGUAUGACUUUCCUUGUUCAGUAGAACACUCAGUAGAAAUUUGAAUGAUUUUUGAAUGCUCUUGUCUUUUGCCAUUCCAAAUGCAAAUAAAAAUAUAAUAUGGCAUCAAUCUAGUGCGCAGAUUCAUAUGAAUGACAUUUAUGGCAUUUUUGAUGUUUGUGCAUUAUUAAUCGUAAUUACAUGAACAAAAAUGACCAGAACUUUCUUCAGAAUUCCUACAUUUGUGUUCCAUGGAAGAAAGUCAUACAGGUUUGUAAGAACAUGUGAGGGAGGAUUUAUUUUUGGGUUCUUUUCAUUAAUUUCAAUCCAUUGAAGUUAGCGGUUUGGUACUGUAGCUUGUUCAGCAUUGAAAAAUAAGCACCUAUCUGUCCUGUGCUGUAGAAGUGGACAUGAAUGAGUGAGCAGAUGAGUUUAGUUCACUUGUUUGCAUUGUAUUCAUCCAUCAAAUCCAUAUGGAAAUUUAAACUGUGUAUUGGAAACACAUGAUAACCACACGUAACACCUCAGUUUAUACUUUUUAUAUAUCCAUCUACUUGGCUGUUUUGUUAUCCUUUGUUUUUUCAAACUUUGCAAUGUAUAUAUGUACACACACAUAUAUGUUGUCGUUACUGUUAACAGUGGUAUUGUUAUUACUAUUAAAUCUUAUUGUGGUAAGUGUUCCAUUUCCACUUUAUGUGCAUACUGAAUGUAAAUAUUUGCAGAAAAAAAAAAGAGCACGAUGUUAAUACACCGUAGGCAAGACAAGCUUGUUUUUGUGUUGUCUGUGUGUUUUUUAAGUUGUCUGAAAUGAUAAUAAUAAAAAUGUUUUGUUUGUAAUUCUAGACUUGGUCUUAUUUGCGCUGCUUUUAUAGAAAAUGCAGAAUAACAGCAAAAAAAAAU
ensembl:lncRNA uncharacterized LOC107671095